GGAAAUUGGCGAAGGAUCUGAAGGUGGAUAUUGGGUCGGUGGCGGGAACUGGCCCGAUGUGCCGAAUUGUGGCUAAGGAUGUGGAGGAGGCGGCGGCAACAGUAAGCUAUUCCUGCUACUGUAGGGGAGCUUGGGAGUGGAGGGGAGGAAGGAGGUUGUAAGUUUAAGUUCAAAUUUGCAACCUGAAGAAUCUGAAUGGGAUGUAUUUGGCAAUGAUUUGUAUGCUCCUGAAGUGGUCCUUACUCAGUCGGGUAAUCCAGGUGUAGAUGUCUCUUCUGCUAGUGGGAUUGAUGAAGACGACAAGCUUAAGGCAUUAAUUGAAACGCCUGCACUUGAUUGGAGCUGUCAAGGACAAGAUGGCUUUGGCGGUAGAGGCUUUGGAAGAGGCUUUGGGAGAGGGAUGAUGGCUGGUCGUGGCUUCGGUAUACGUUUAUGCUCUUCAUAUGUUCUCUAUUAUUUUUGGUUUCCUUAUCUUGUUGUCAUCGUCAUAUUAAUUUCUUUUUUUAUUAUUUUUUUUCAUUUUGGUGUGAUUAUUUCCAGUAUAAGAUUCUUGUAAAUUGGUCAUGCAAGACAAAGCUAUGACUAUCUUAAUCGCUAGGUAAAGACUUAGGUCCAUUACUUUGCUUUCAAGUAAUAUAUAAUAAAAUAAUAAAUUGAGAACUAUUAGAUAAAUAUGAAGUAAUGAGUGAUACAAUUAUUAUAUUCUUGAUGUUUAUGCUUGUGUUGUGCAUCCAACUCAUCAUACUUUGAUAAACUGCUGUGGAUAAUGCCACAAAUUAGCCUAUUUCUAUUAGAAAUUGCUGGUGUUCAGGAUUUUGUGCCCCCUUCUUGUGCCUUGAGCUCAUUCUGGAUCUGCGCAGCAUUACUGAAGUUAUAUCAGCUCGCACGUUAUUACUUUUGCAGGCUAGUAAUAAGCAUGUGGAUGGUGUAGAUCAAUAAAUUGUGUCAUGCUGAUAAUUUGACAUCUUCUGAUCUGGAGAGGUCAUUUGUGUAAGUGAGGACUUAGGAGUGUUGAUAAUGAAUUAACUACGUCUUCUAAGAAUUGUUAAUUAUUGUGACUUUACAAGUCACUCAUUGCGCCUCGCUAAAUUUUCAAGUGAAUUUUGCUUUAUAUCCUAUCUGUGGUCAAUUUCGAUUUUAAGAGAAUUUGACACUAUUAACGAGUGUCAGAUACAAAUAUUUUGCCAUUAUCCUUGCACAUCGCGUGUCCUUUCUUUUGACAUUCUACUCAUAAGAUAACUUCAUUGAGAUGAAUCUUUGUCUAAUAAUUCAUCUUGUUUCAUGGUUUGCAGCGGUUAUACACUGAGCACAAGAUCAAGUUAUCGAAGAUACACAUAUAUUGGAAUAACUGUAGUUUUGCUUAUUCUCUUAGUGCUAGCCUCAUUGUCAAUUUUAUCCAUUUGAGAAAUCAUCUGUCAAACUAUCUUUAUAUUGACAUUUCUAUGCAAGUUUUCUUUUCCAAUGUCUUCACUUUAUUCUGUGUUUUCCCCAGGUAUAGAAUUGUCUGCUAUUAGCAGAUUGAGUAUCUAUUUGCUUGUCCGUUUACAACUUUGAUCCUAUUUUAGCAUUUGAUUUUUCAUAGAGUUGAAGCAAUUUAAUGAUGUUUUCUUUCAGAUUGAUCACAUAGUCCUAACUCAUGUAUGCUCAGAGACUUUAGGCGGACUUCCAGGUCUUCUAUUGACUUUAGCCGGCAUUGGGGAAGAAGGGAUGUCUGUAUGUUCUACACUAAAGCCUGGUGAUAAUGCGGUUGUCUAUGUCUGUGAAUUGCCAGAAAUUAAGGGGAAGUUUGACCCAGUUAAAGCUUCAUCUCUAGGACUGAAACCAGGUCCAAAAUAUCGCGAAUUGCAACUUGGAAAGUCAGUAAUGUCAGAUUAUCAAGACAUUAUGGUGUGUUGAGCCUAAGUUUAAUCAAACUUCGAACUCUUGUGUGAUAUCUUCGAACUCAAUUGCUGAAGAUGAUGAGUCUCCCAAGUCAUAUGUAAUGCAGCAAAGUUAGUUUUUGUUGUUCUGUGUACUAUGGUUAAUUCUUGUACUCCAUGUUGGAUUAUCCAAAGACUAGUAUUUGUUUUUUGGCACAUUUGUGUUGACUCUUCUUGUAUGCUACAACUUGGUUAUGUAUCAGUUUGAACAUUUAAAUAAAAUAUUUGCUUUUAUGGUUGUCACAA